rnacentral:tRNA from 1 species
UGUAAGAAAGACUAAGGGAUA